CGACCUCAGAUCAGACGUGGUGACCCACCGAAUUUAAGCAUAUUACUAAAUGGAGGAAAAGAAACUAACCAGGAUUCCCUCAGUGACGGCAAGUGAACAGGGAGGAACCCAGAGCCAAAUUCCCACCCAGGUGACAGGUGCAGGGAAAUGUGGCAUACGGAAGUCUGUCUCCCUGGUGCCGCCCAGGGGGCCCAAGUCCUUGUGAUCGAGGUUCAGCCUGCGGAUGGUGUGAGGCCAGUGGCAGCCACCGUUGCAUCGGGAUCAGGUCUUCCUGGAGUUGGCUUGUUUCUGAAUGCAGCCCAAAGUGGGUGGUAAACUCCGUCUAAGGCUAAACAUCGGCAUGAGACUGAUAGCAGACAAAUAUUGCAAGGGAAGGUUGAAAAGAACUUUGACGAGAUAGUUCAAGAGGGAGUGAAACUGUUCAGAGGUAAAUGGGUUGGGUCCACGUGGUCCACCUGGAGAAUUCAACUCAGCUGUCGCUCUAGCUGCCUUGGGUGAGCCGGAUCCCCUCUCCUUCUGGGGGGGUGGGGGUACUGUCCCCGGGAGUGCCAACCGCUGUCGGGCUCACUUCCCCUGCGGUGGUGCACCUCGACCGGCUCUGGGUUGGUUGGGAAGGCCACAUGGAAGGUGGCUCCCCUCCCUGGAGGGGAGUGUUUCAGCCCAUGGCAUCAGCCCUCGCCAUGCCCUGGGGUUGUGAGAGAUGACCACCGCUGCACCCACCCCUGAAUACCAGUGAGACUGCCAACAGGGCCGGACUAUCCUCAGUGCAGCUCGACCACAUCCUGCCGCCAGGCCGGCAGGCUCACCUUGGGUGCCCGGGGUCCACGGCGAUGUCAGUGACUGUCCCGUCUUGAAACACGAACCAAGUAAUCUAACAGGUGCACGAGUCUGAGGGUGGGCAGCGCAAUGAAAGUGAGGACUGGUGCGUGCCAGCUGAGGUGGGAUCUCCACAUGGGGGGGGUGAUCCUUCGGCCUGUCUCACGCAUCUCAUCAGGGAGGUGGAGUGUGAGCGUACUUGGUGGGACCCAAAAGAUGGUGAACAAUGCCUGGGCAGGGGGAAGCCAGAGGAAACUCAGGUGGAAGUCUGUAGUGAUCCUGAUCUGCAAAUUAGUCAUCUGACCUGGGUAUAGGGGUGAAAGACUAAUCGAACCUUCUAGUAUCUGGUUCCCUCCGAAGUUUCCCAUACGAUAGUUGGCACUCGGCAGACACAGUUUUAUCUGGUAAAGUGAAUGAUUAGAGGUCUUCGGGCCGAAACAAUCUCAACCUAUUCUCAAACUUUAAAUGGAUAAGAAGCCAGAGUCGCUGUCUUGAAGCCAGGUAUGGAAUGAGAUCUUCCAGUGGGCCACUUUUGGUAAGCAGAACUGGUGCUGCAGGAUGAACUGAACGCCGGGUUAAGGCACCUGAUGCCAAUGCUCAUCAGACCCCGGAAAGGUGUUGGUUGAUAUAGACAGCAGAACGGUGGCCAUGAAAAUUGGAAUCUGCUAAGGAGUGUGUAACAACUCACCUGCCGAAUCAACUAGCCCUUAAAAUGGAUGGAGCUGGAGUGUUGGGUCCAUACCCGGCCAUCACCAGCACUCGGAGCCAUUGGUGGUAGCAAAUAUUUAAAUGAGAGCUUUUAAGGCUGAAGUGGAGAAGGGGUCCAUGUGAAUAGCAGUUGAACAUGGGUCAGUCAGUCCUGAGAGAUAGGUGAGCACCAUUCCAAAGGGAUGGGUGAUGGCCUCCCUCACCCUUGGCCAAUUGAAAGGCAGUUGGGUUCAGCUCCUCGAAUCUGGAGUGGCAGAGAUGGGUGCCUCGCAGCAUCCAGUGCAGUGAUGCAAACGAUCCCGGAGAAGCUGGUGGGGGCCCCUGGGGAAUUUCUAUUUUCUUUAUAAAGGGCAGGGCACCCUGGAAUGGGUCACAGUUCCAGCAGUGUCAGGUGAGCUCUCACCGGCCCUUGAAAAUCCGGUGGAGUGGGUGUAAGUCUCGUGCCAGGCUGUACCCAUAUCCACAGCAGGUCUCCAAGGUGAACAGCCUCUGGCAUGUUAGAACAAUGUAGGUAAGGGAAGUCAGCAAGCCAGAUCCAUAACUUUGGGAUAAUGACUGGCUCUAAGCACUGAGUCUAUCAGGCUCAGGUGUGAAGCGGGGCUGGGUGCAUGCUGCGGCUUGAUGAGAUGUUGCCUCUUCACUGUGCUCCUCCCUCCCGGGGGGCCAGGUGGAUGGCGGCAGUGACUCUGGAUGCAUGCUGGGCUCUUUACUGUGGAUUGGCCCAGCUGUGGUGAGCACCGGUCCUGACCAACAUCCCACAUUGUCCAGCAGCUAGCAGCUGACUUACAACUGGUGCAGACUGGGGGAAUCUGACUGUUUAAUUAAAACAAAGCAUCAUGAAGGCCAGAGACAGGUACUGACAUGAUGUGAUUUCUGCCCAGUGUUCUGAAUGUCAAAGUGAAGAAAUUCAAUGAAACGUGGGUAAAUGGCGGGAGUAACUAUUACUCUCCUAAGGUAGCCAAAUGCCUCAUCAUCU